rnacentral:lncRNA from 1 species
UUCAGGAAGCCUGCCUCUCCUCCCACUUCGCCCCUUCUCUCCGCGCAGCAUUAUGCUCUGUUGGUGGCUCUGGGCUUUGCAAAAUGUCGCGAUAUUCCCGCCCCCAGCCCCGGCCUGACCCCCGCGCCCCCAUCCACCCUGGGCCUGGCUCCCCCUCACCUCAGCAGGAAUGGGCUCCCGACCCACUCAGCCCGAGGCGGGGGCCCUGAGGCUCAGCCCGGCGCCCAGGCUGGGUUUCGCUUUGCCCCCUUGCUUGGCGGGGCUGCCUGCACAUCCCCGCCCCGUCUGUGUCCCGGGCAUCCCGCCAGCUCCCACCACCUCCACCGCGCCCCCGGUGCCGCCGGUGUCCCCCUGCCGGAUGCCCCGCCUUCCACCACGCGGGCCUGGCCCUCAUGUCGACGGGCAGACCUCUGCCCGCACACCUCCGGGUCUCAUCUCUCAUCCCCGCACCAUGGACGGACGUCUGAAUGCUUACAGUCAUUUCACUGACUCCUGGAAAACCGGAUGGGAGCUGAUGGAUGAGCUAAAAUCAGCAGUCCACUUUGAAGCACCAGAAUCCGAUUUCGGGGAAGACAUCACUUCCACGGACGGGGUAGGGAGGAUGGUUUUGGGAUGAUUCAAACACAUUGCAUUUAUUGUGAACUUUAUUUCUAAUCUAAUGCCGCUGCUGAUCUGACAGCAGGUACCCAUCCACAGCCCCGAGGUUGGGGACCCCUGGGCUAAACGAUGCUUUGGGCCUGAUUGUUGCCUUUUCCAUAACAACAACCCUCAGGUAAAAUAAAAGCUUCUGUUCAGGGUUUCCCUGGUGGCUC